rnacentral:rRNA from 1 species
UAAUACAUGCAAGUCGAACGCACUCUCGUUUAGAUUGAAGGAGCUUGCUCUGAUUGAUAAACUAUUUGAGUGAGUGGCGGACGGGUGAGUAACACGUGGGUAACCUGCCCUAAAGUGGGGGAUAACAUUUGGAAACAGAUGCUAAUACCGCAUAAAACCUAACACCGCAUGGUGUAGGGUUGAAAGAUGGUUUCGGCUAUCACUUUAGGAUGGACCCGCGGUGCAUUAGUUAGUUGGUGAGGUAAAGGCUCACCAAGACCGUGAUGCAUAGCCGACCUGAGAGGGUAAUCGGCCACACUGGGACUGAGACACGGCCCAGACUCCUACGGGAGGCAGCAGUAGGGAAUCUUCCACAAUGGACGAAAGUCUGAUGGAGCAACGCCGCGUGAGUGAAGAAGGUUUUCGGAUCGUAAAACUCUGUUGUUGGAGAAGAAUGUAUCUGAUAGUAACUGAUCAGGUAGUGACGGUAUCCAACCAGAAAGCCACGGCUAACUACGUG